GCAUUGUCCGUGUGCGGUGUGAGCGGCGCACUCAUGCGAGCACUACAAUCUCUUUAUAGGGAUUCUAGUGCUUGUGUGAGGAUAAACGGGGCAUACACUGAAUGGUUUAAUAUCGAAAAAGGUGUGAUAGACAGGGAUGUGUAGCGUCACCGUGGCUGUUUAAUCUGUUCAUGGAACAGAUUUAAAAGAGAAUGAAAAUGGGUUGAGAAUGAAUGAGUUACUCGUCAAAUGUUUUCUCUAUGCUGAUUAUCAAGUAUUACUUGCGUCUUCACCCGAGGAGUUGCAGGAGAUGGUAACUGAUAUGAGUGGAGCUUUUGUAAGAAAGGGAAUGAAGAUGAAUGUAAAGAAGACGAAAGUGAUAGUGUUUGAAAGAGAUGAGGCAGUGACA
rnacentral:misc_RNA from 1 species